rnacentral:rRNA from 1 species
UGGGGAAUAUUGCACAAUGGGCGCAAGCCUGAUGCAGCCAUGCCGCGUGUAUGAAGAAGGCCUUCGGGUUGUAAAGUACUUUCAGUCGGGAGGAAGGUGGUAAGGUUAAUAACCUUAUCAAUUGACGUUACCGACAGAAGAAGCACCGGCUAACUCCGUGCCAGCAGCCGCGGUAAUACGGAGGGUGCAAGCGUUAAUCGGAAUUACUGGGCGUAAAGCGCACGCAGGCGGUUUGUUAAGUCAGAUGUGAAAUCCCCGGGCUCAACCUGGGAACUGCAACUGAUACUGGCAAGCUUGAGUCUCGUAGAGGGGGGUAGAAUUCCAGGUGUAGCGGUGAAAUGCGUAGAGAUCUGGAGGAAUACCGGUGGCGAAGGCGGCCCCCUGGACGAAGACUGACGCUCAGGUGCGAAAGAGUGGGGAGCAAACAGG